AGUGAACGCUGGCGGUAGGCCUAACACAUGCAAGUCGAACGGCAGCACAGUAAGAGCUUGCUCUUACGGGUGGCGAGUGGCGGACGGGUGAGGAAUACAUCGGAAUCUACUUUUUCGUGGGGGAUAACGUAGGGAAACUUACGCUAAUACCGCAUACGACCUACGGGUGAAAGCAGGGGAUCUUCGGACCUUGCGCGAUUGAAUGAGCCGAUGUCGGAUUAGCUAGUUGGCGGGGUAAAGGCCCACCAAGGCGACGAUCCGUAGCUGGUCUGAGAGGAUGAUCGGCCACACUGGAACUGAGACACGGUCCAGACUCCUACGGGAGGCCGCAGUGGGGAAUAUUGGACAAUGGGCGCAAGCCUGAUCCAGCCAUGCCGCGUGUGUGAAGAAGGCCUUCGGGUUGUAGAGCCCUUCAAGUUGGGAAGAAGAGCAGCAGGUUAAUACCCCGCUGUUCUGACGGUACCAAAAGAAGAAGCACCGGCUAACUUCGUG
rnacentral:rRNA from 1 species